rnacentral:rRNA from 1 species
GAUCCUGGCUCAGGAUGAACGCUGGCGGCGUGCUUAACACAUGCAAGUCGAGCGAAGCAAUUUAAGUGAAGUUUUCGGAUGGAUCUUAAAUUGACUGAGCGGCGGACGGGUGAGUAACGCGUGGAUAACCUGCCUCACACAGGGGGAUAACAGUUAGAAAUGACUGCUAAUACCGCAUAACCCGAUAGGAUCGCAUGAUCCAGACGGAAAAGAUUUAUCGGUGUGAGAUGGACCCG